rnacentral:rRNA from 1 species
UACGUAGGGUGCGAGCGUUGUCCGGAAUUAUUGGGCGUAAAGAGCUUGUAGGCGGUUUGUCGCGUCUGCUGUGAAAAUCCGGGGCUCAACUCCGGACUUGCAGUGGGUACGGGCAGGCUAGAGUGUGGUAGGGGAGACUGGAAUUCCUGGUGUAGCGGUGGAAUGCGCAGAUAUCAGGAGGAACACCGGUGGCGAAGGCGGGUCUCUGGGCCAAUACUGACGCUGAGGAGCGAAAGCGUGGGGAGCGAACAGG